rnacentral:rRNA from 1 species
AUUGAACGCUGGCGGCAUGCCUUACACAUGCAAGUCGAACGGUAACAGGUCUUCGGAUGCUGACGAGUGGCGAACGGGUGAGUAAUACAUCGGAACGUGCCUAGUAGUGGGGGAUAACUACUCGAAAGAGUGGCUAAUACCGCAUGAGAUCUACGGAUGAAAGCAGGGGAUCGCAAGACCUUGUGCUACUAGAGCGGCCGAUGGCAGAUUAGGUAGUUGGUGGGAUAAAAGCUUACCAAGCCGACGAUCUGUAGCUGGUCUGAGAGGACGAUCAGCCACACUGGGACUGAGACACGGACCAGACUCCUACGGGAGGCAGCAGUGGGGAAUUUUGGACAAUGGGCGAAAGCCUGAUCCAGCAAUGCCGCGUGCAGGAUGAAGGCCUUCGGGUUGUAAACUGCUUUUGUACGGAGCGAAAAGCCCUGGGUUAAUACCCUGGGGUCAUGACGGUACCGUAAGAAUAAGCACCGGCUAACUACGUGCCAGCCGCCGCUGUAA